rnacentral:rRNA from 1 species
GUGGGGAAUAUUGGACAAUGGGGGAAACCCUGAUCCAGCCAUGCCGCGUGAGUGAUGAAGGCCUUCGGGUUGUAAAGCUCUUUUGGCGGGGACGAUGAUGACGGUACCCGCAGAAUAAGCCCCGGCUAACUUCGUGCCAGCAGCCGCGGUAAGACGAAGGGGGCUAGCGUUGUUCGGAAUUACUGGGCGUAAAGGGCGCGCAGGCGGCUUCGCAAGUCGGGCGUUAAAGACCCAGGCUCAACCUGGGGACUGCGUUCGAUACUGCGAAGCUUGAGGUCGGAAGAGGAGAGUGGAAUUCCCAGUGUAGAGGUGAAAUUCGUAGAUAUUGGGAAGAACACCAGUGGCGAAGGCGGCUCUCUGGUCCGACUCUGACGCUGAGGCGCGAAAGCGUGGGGAGCAAACAGGAUUAGAAACCCUAGUAGUCC